ACCUGAAUUUGAAACUGAUCACUGGUGUCUUGGUCAUUGAUAGCACAGUGAGAAGAACUGCAGAAAGUGUUUUCUGUGUUUGCAGGGUCCAUCCCCAGCCUUGGGAACCGUGGUGCUUUUCACACA